AACGAACGCUGGCGGCAUGCCUAACACAUGCAAGUCGAACGAGACCUUCGGGUCUAGUGGCGCACGGGUGCGUAACGCGUGGGAAUCUGCCCUUGGGUUCGGAAUAACAGUUGGAAACGACUGCUAAUACCGGAUGAUGACGUAAGUCCAAAGAUUUAUCGCCCAAGGAUGAGCCCGCGUAGGAUUAGCUAGUUGGUGAGGUAAAGGCUCACCAAGGCGACGAUCCUUAGCUGGUCUGAGAGGAUGAUCAGCCACACUGGGACUGAGACACGGCCCAGACUCCUACGGGAGGCAGCAGUGGGGAAUAUUGGAAAAUGGGCGAAAGCCUGAUCCAGCAAUGCCGCGUGAGUGAUGAAGGCCUUAGGGUUGUAAAGCUCUUUUACCCGGGAUGAUAAUGACAGUACCGGGAGAAUAAGCUCCGGCUAACUCCGUG
rnacentral:rRNA from 1 species